rnacentral:rRNA from 1 species
GCAAGUCGAGCGCGAAAACCCUUCGGGGUAAGUAGAGCGGCGCACGGGUGAGUAACACGUGAGUAAUCUGCCUUUGGGUUGGGGAUAACAGCGCGAAAGUGCUGCUAAUACCGAAUAAGACCACGCGACCGCGGUCGAGUGGGAAAAGCAUGGGACUUCUUCGGAAACCAUGCGCCUGGAGAUGAGCUCGCGGCCCAUUAUGAUAGUUGGUAGGGUAACGGCCUACCAAGUCUUAGAUGGGUAGCUGGUCUGAGAGGACGAUC